AUUGAACGCUGGCGGCAGGCCUAACACAUGCAAGUCGAGCGGAUGACGGGAGCUUGCUCCUUGAUUCAGCGGCGGACGGGUGAGUAAUGCCUAGGAAUCUGCCUGGUAGUGGGGGACGACGUUUCGAAAGGAACGCUAAUACCGCAUACGUCCUACGGGAGAAAGCAGGGGACCUUCGGGCCUUGUGCUAUCAUAUGAGCCUAGGUCGGAUUAGCUAGUAGGUGAGGUAAUGGCUCACCUAGGCGACGAUCCGUAACUGGUCUGAGAGGAUGAUCAGUCACACUGGAACUGAGACACGGUCCAGACUCCUACGGGAGGCAGCAGUGGGGAAUAUUGGACAAUGGGCGAAAGCCUGAUCCAGCCAUGCCGCGUGUGUGAAGAAGGUCUUCGGAUUGUAAAGCACUUUAAGUUGGGAGGAAGGGCAGUAAGCUAAUACCUUGCUGUUUUGACGUUACCGACAGAAUAAGCACCGGCUAACUCUGUGCCAGCCGCCGCCGUAACAC
rnacentral:rRNA from 1 species